rnacentral:rRNA from 1 species
CCUACGGGUGGCAGCAGUGGGGAAUAUUGCACAAUGGGCGAAAGCCUGAUGCAGCCAUGCCGCGUGUGUGAAGAAGGCCUUCGGGUUGUAAAGCACUUUCAGCGGGGAGGAAGGCGGUGAGGUUAAUAACCUCAUCGAUUGACGUUACCCGCAGAAGAAGCACCGGCUAACUCCGUGCCAGCAGCCGCGGUAAUACGGAGGGUGCAAGCGUUAAUCGGAAUUACUGGGCGUAAAGCGCACGCAGGCGGUCUGUCAAGUCGGAUGUGAAAUCCCCGGGCUCAACCUGGGAACUGCAUUCGAAACUGGCAGGCUAGAGUCUUGUAGAGGGGGGUAGAAUUCCAGGUGUAGCGGUGAAAUGCGUAGAGAUCUGGAGGAAUACCGGUGGCGAAGGCGGCCCCCUGGACAAAGACUGACGCUCAGGUGCGAAAGCGUGGGGAGCAAACAGGAUUAGAUACCCUUGUAGUC